AACGAACGCUGGCGGCAGGCCUAACACAUGCAAGUCGAGCGAGACCUUCGGGUCUAGCGGCGGACGGGUUAGUAACGCGUGGGAACGUGCCCUUCUCUGCGGAAUAGCCACUGGAAACGGUGAGUAAUACCGCAUACGCCCUUCGGGGGAAAGAUUUAUCGGAGAAGGAUCGGCCCGCGUUAGAUUAGAUAGUUGGUGGGUAACGGCCUACCAAGUCUACGAUCUAUAGCUGGUUUUAGAGGAUGAUCAGCAACACUGGGACUGAGACACGGCCCAGGCUCCUACGGGAGGCAGCAGUGGGGAAUCUUAGACAAUGGGCGCAAGCCUGAUCUAGCCAUGCCGCGUGUGUGAUGAAGGUCUUAGGAUCGUAAAGCACUUUCGCCAGGGAUGAUAAUGACAGUACCUGGUAAAGAAACCCCGGCUAACUCCGUG
rnacentral:rRNA from 1 species